UGAGGAACAUGACCUUCGGCGGGGGAUAGCCGGCCCAACGGCCGGGUAAUACCGCGUACGACCACAUGGGGACAUCCCCGAGUGGUGAAAGCAGCAAUGCGCCGAUGGAGUGCCUCGCGGCCUAUCAGCUAGUUGGUGAGGUAACGGCUCACCAAGGCAACGAUGCGUAGCCGACCUGAGAGGGUNAUCGGCCACAUUGGAACUGAGACACGGUCCAGCUCCUAGGGAG
rnacentral:rRNA from 1 species